rnacentral:tRNA from 1 species
GGGGGCAUAGCUCAGCUGGUAGAGCAUCUGUUUUGCACGCAGAAAGUCAGCGGUUCGAUCCCGCUUGCCUCCACCA